GACAAACGCUGGCGGCGUGCUUAACACAUGCAAGUCGUACGGUAAGGCCCUUUCGGGGGUACACGAGUGGCGCACGGGUGAGUAACACGUGAGUAACCUGCCCACAACUUUGGGAUAACGCUAGGAAACUGGUGCUAAUUCUGGAUAUGUGCUCCUGCUGCAUGGUGGGGGUUGGAAAGCUCCGGCGGUUGUGGAUGGACUCGCGGCGUAUCAGCUUGUUGGUGGGGUAGUGGCCUACCAAGGCGGCGACGGGUAGCUGGCCUGAGAGGGUGAGCGGCCACAUUGGGACUGAGAUACGGCCCAGACUCCUACGGGAGGCAGCAGUGGGGAAUAUUGCACAAGGGGCGCAAGCCGGAUGCAGCAACGCCGCGUGCGGGAUGACGGCCUUCGGGUUGUAAACCGCUUGCAGCAGGGACGAAGCUUUUUGUGACGGUACCUGCAGAAGAAGCACCGGCUAACUACGUG
rnacentral:rRNA from 1 species